rnacentral:rRNA from 1 species
GACGAGCGCUGGCGGCGUGCUUAACACAUGCAAGUCGAACGGAAAGGCCCUGCUUGCAGGGUGCUCGAGUGGCGAACGGGUGAGUAACACGUGGGUGAUCUGCCCCUUAUUUUGGGAUAAGCCUGGGAAACUGGGUCUAAUACUGGAUAGGACCAUGCUGUAGGUGGUGUGGUGGAAAGAUUAGUUUCGGUAAGGGAUGAGCUCGCGGCCUAUCAGCUUGUUGGUGGGGUAAUGGCCUACCAAGGCGUCGACGGGUAGCCGGCCUGAGAGGGUGGACGGCCACAUUGGGACUGAGAUACGGCCCAGACUCCUACGGGAGGCAGCAGUGGGGAAUAUUGCACAAUGGGCGCAAGCCUGAUGCAGCGACGCCGCGUGGGGGAUGACGGCCUUCGGGUUGUAAACUCCUUUCAGCCAUGACGAAGCCCUUGUGGUGACGGUAGUGGUAGAAGAAGCACCGGCUAACUACGUG